GACGAACGCUGGCGGCGUGCCUAAUACAUGCAAGUAGAACGCUGAAGAGAGGAGCUUGCUCUUCUUGGAUGAGUUGCGAACGGGUGAGUAACGCGUAGGUAACCUGCCUUGUAGCGGGGGAUAACUAUUGGAAACGAUAGCUAAUACCGCAUAACAAUGGAUGACACAUGUCAUUUAUUUGAAAGGGGCAAUUGCUCCACUACAAGAUGGACCUGCGUUGUAUUAGCUAGUAGGUGAGGUAACGGCUCACCUAGGCGACGAUACAUAGCCGACCUGAGAGGGUGAUCGGCCACACUGGGACUGAGACACGGCCCAGACUCCUACGGGAGGCAGCAGUAGGGAAUCUUCGGCAAUGGGGGCAACCCUGACCGAGCAACGCCGCGUGAGUGAAGAAGGUUUUCGGAUCGUAAAGCUCUGUUGUAAGUCAAGAACGAGUGUGAGAGUGGAAAGUUCACACUGUGACGGUAGCUUACCGGAAAGGGACGGCUAACUACGUG
rnacentral:rRNA from 1 species